CUCCAGUGGAUUAAGGCUAACAGAGGUUACGUGACUUGCCCACGAUCACAGAACUAUGGUAAAGAAUUGGAAAUUAUGGGAGUACCUUCAUCUGGAGAAAGGCUGAAAAAUUAUGAUACAUGAAUAUGAUGGAUGUGCCUUAAUAAAUGACAAAAGUGAGUUUCAGAGAAACCUGGGAAGACUUGUAUGAACUGAUGAAGCACGAAGUGAGCAGAACAAGAACUAUUUAUACAGUAUCAACAAUAUUGUAAAGACAAACAACUUUGAAAGAAUUGAGAACUCUAAUCAACCCAAUGACCAAUGAAAAUUCCAGGGGACUGAUAAAGAAGCAUGCUACCCACCUCCUGACAGAGAGGUCAUGAACUCGGGAUGCAGAUUGAGAAAUAUAUUUUUGCACAUGGCCAAUGAAAGAAUUUGUUUUGUUUGACUAUGCAUAUUUGCUACAAGUGGGAAAAAUAAUUUUUAAAAAUUAAAACAAAUUAAUUUUUUAAAAAGUGAA